UUGGCCACGGGGUCGACCUCGCGGGUCACGACCAGGUACUCGCGCAGCGCGAUGGCGUGCAGGUGCUC
rnacentral:sRNA from 1 species